GGAAUCUCUUAUCGCUCAAAGACCCAAUCGGCGCUGAUGUCAGAUUUUUAUCCAGUUUGACCUCGGAUCAGGUAGGAGUACCCGCUGAACUUAAGCAUAUCAAUAAGCGGAGGAAAAGAAACCAACAGGGAUUGCCUCAGUAACGGCGAGUGAAGCGGCAAAAGCUCAAAUUUGAAAUCUGGCACCGUUAGGUGUCCGAGUUGUAAUUUGGAGAGGAUACUUCGGGUGUGGCUACGGCGUAAGUCCCUUGGAACAGGGCGUCAUAGAGGGUGAGAAUCCCGUCUUAAGUCGUUUGUCCAUGCCCAUGCGAAGUUCCUUCGACGAGUCGAGUUGUUUGGGAAUGCAGCUCUAAGUGGGUGGUAAAUUUCAUCUAAAGCUAAAUAUUGGCCGGAGACCGAUAGCGAACAAGUAGAGUGAUCGAAAGGUUAAAAGCACCUUGAAAAGGGAGUUAAAUAGCACGUGAAAUUGUUGAAAGGGAAGCGCUUGCAACCAGACUCGGUCAUAGGGGCUCAGCGAGCAUGCGUGCUCGUGUACUCCCCUGUGUUCGGGCCAGCAUCAGUUCUGGCGGUUGGUUAAAGGCCCUUGGAAUGUAUCGUCCUCCGGGACGUCUUAUAGCCAAGGGUGUAAUGCAGCCAGCCGGGACUGAGGAACGCGCUUCGGCACGGAUGCUGGCGUAAUGGUUGUAAGCGGCCCGUCUUGAAACAC
rnacentral:rRNA from 1 species